rnacentral:rRNA from 1 species
GGGCCCUCAAAUAUGAUGCGGCUGGACCUCUCGGGGUUACAGCCUUGCUGAAUUAUUCACCCUUGUCUUUUGCGUACUUCUUGUUUCCUUGGUGGGUUCGCCCACCACUAGGACAAACAUAAACCUUUUGUAAUUGCAAUCAGCGUCAGUAACAAAUUAAUAAUUACAACUUUCAACAACGGAUCUCUUGGUUCUGGCAUCGAUGAAGAACGCAGCGAAAUGCGAUAAGUAGUGUGAAUUGCAGAAUUCAGUGAAUCAUCGAAUCUUUGAACGCACAUUGCGCCCUUUGGUAUUCCAAAGGGCAUGCCUGUUCGAGCGUCAUUUGUACCCUCAAGCUUUGCUUGGUGUUGGGCGUCUUGUCUCUAGCUUUGCUGGAGACUCGCCUUAAAGUAAUUGGCAGCCGGCCUACUGGUUUCGGAGCGCAGCACAAGUCGCACUCUCUAUCAGCAAAGGUCUAGCAUCCAUUAAGCCUUUUUUUCAACUUUUGACCUCGGAUCAGGUAGGGAUACCCGCUGAACUUAAGCAUAUCAAUAAGCGGAGGAA